GACGAACGCUGGCGGCGUGCUUAACACAUGCAAGUCGAGCGGACAGGCCCUGCUCUUGUUGGUUGCUCGAGUGGCGAACGGGUGAGUAACACGUGAGUAACCUGCCCUUGACUUUGGGAUAUCUUCAGGAAACUGGGGAUAAUACCGGAUAGGAUCUCCUGCUGCAUGGUGGGGGAUGGAAAGUUUCGGCGGUUGGGGAUGGACUCGCGGCUUAUCAGCUUGUUGGUGGGGUAGUGGCUUACCAAGGCUUUGACGGGUAGCCGGCCUGAGAGGGUGACCGGGCACAUGGGGACUGAGAUACGGCGCAGACUGCUACGUGAGGCAGCAGGGGGGAAUAUUGCACAAUGGGCGGAAGCCUGAGGCAGCAACGCCGCGUGCGGGAUGAUGGCUUUCGGGGUGUAAACCGCUUUCGCCGGUGACGAAGCGUGAGUGACGGUAAUGGGUAAAGAAGCAACGGCUAACUACGUG
rnacentral:rRNA from 1 species